rnacentral:rRNA from 1 species
UACAGAGGGUGCAAACGUUGUUCGGAAUUACUGGGCGUAAAGCGUGUGUAGGCGGUUCUCUAAGUCGGAUGUGAAAUCCCUGGGCUCAACCCAGGAAGUGCACUCGAAACUGGAGGGCUAGAGUAUCGGAGAGGUUGGUGGAAUUCUCGGUGUAGAGGUGAAAUUCGUAGAUAUCGAGAGGAACACCGGUGGCGAAGGCGGCCAACUGGACGAAUACUGACGCUGAGACACGAAAGCGUGGGGAGCAAACAGG